rnacentral:rRNA from 1 species
UACGGAGGGUGCAAGCGUUAUCCGGAUUUAUUGGGUUUAAAGGGUCCGUAGGCGGGCCUGUAAGUCAGUGGUGAAAUCUCAUAGCUUAACUAUGAAACUGCCAUUGAUACUGCAGGUCUUGAGUAUAUUUGAGGUAGCUGGAAUAAGUAGUGUAGCGGUGAAAUGCAUAGAUAUUACGUAGAACACCAAUUGCGAAGGCAGGUUACCAAGUUAUAACUGACGCUGAGGGACGAAAGCGUGGGGAGCGAACAGG